UGAAAGAAGAGGAGGAGUCUCUCAUCCCUUGUCCGGGACCCUGAUGGAGACCCCCGGGCCAUAGCCUAAACAUUUUUCAGUGACUCCUUGGGGCACAUCUAGAGCCAGGCCCCAUCUCCAGGCAGCCUGUGUUUCUGCAUGAUGCCACCAGCCUGGUCUGUGUGAAACUUGAGUUCUGCACCUGCUCUGUCACUGUUCAGCGGUCUUCCCAGAGGGCAUCGCAGUCACCAGGGCCUGGCAGAGCCCUGGAGGGGCCCAGCCUGACAGUGGUCUCUGACUCCUGCAUUAUUCAUGGGCCCCUGAGCAGAGCUGACUGCUGCCCUGCAGAGGGAUUGGUCUUUUUUUUUUCUUGGUACUGAGGAUUGAACCCAGGGGUGCUUCACCCCUGAGCCACAUCCCCCGCCCUUUCUACUGUUUAUUUUUUAUGUUGAGACAGGGUAUCGAUAAGUUGCUUAGGGCCUCGUUAAGUUUCGGGGGCUGGUUUUGAACUUAUGAUCCUCCUGUCUCAGCCUCCCAAGCGGCUGGGGCUCUAGGCAUGAGCCAUUUGUGCUCGGCUCUUCUUUUAACUUCAUUUUACCUUCUGUUGUGGAAAAGGACACACAACAUAUUAUUUGCCACUUUAAACAUUUUCAGUGUACAGUUCGGUGACUAUACGUACAUUCACAUCUUCUGCAGCCACCACCACCGUCCGUCUACAGGACUUUUUAAAAAAUUCCAAACUGGGGAGGAAGAGCAAGAGGAAAAGAUUAACAUUAAACAGAGACAUGAGGUGGGAGGGAAAGGGAGAGAAAAGGGAAAUUGCAUGGAAAUGGAAGGAGACCCUCAUUGUUAUACAAAAUUACAUAUAAGAGGUUGUGAGGGGAAAGGAAAAAAAAGGGAGAGAAUUAAAUUACAGCAGAUGGG
rnacentral:lncRNA from 1 species